ACAAACUUGGUCAUUUAGAGGAAGUAAAAGUCGUAACAAGGUUUCCGUAGGUGAACCUGCGGAAGGAUCAUUACUGAAUCUAUAAGCUGGAGUUGUAGCUGGCCAUAGAAUAGUGGCAUGUGCACACUUUGGCAUUAUCCAAAAAAAAUCUAAACUUUAAUAGUGCACAAUUCAUGGAAGGAUCGUUUAAAAGUUACAUGAUAAUUUAUCAGUAGCUUUUAUUUAGUUCCUUUUCAUGUCUUUUAAAAUAAACAUUGAUUGUAAAGAAUGUAUAUCGCAUUUAAUGCAUCUUUAAUACAACUUUUAGCAACGGAUCUCUUGGCUCUCGCAUCGAUGAAGAACGCAGC
rnacentral:misc_RNA from 1 species